rnacentral:rRNA from 1 species
AAGAGCUCCUUAGAACAGCCAUGAUUGGCUUGACGUUGAUAGUUUACGUGGAUAACUGUGGUAAUUCUAGAGCUAAUACAUGCACCAAAACUCCGAUUAAUGACGAGUGCAACUAUUAGACUAAAACCAACCGAACCUUUUAGGUUCGUGAAGUUUUGGGGACUCUGAAUAGCUAUCAGCUGAUCGCAUGGUCUUGUACCGGCGACGUGUCUAUCAAGUGUCUGCCUUAUCAACUUUCGAUGGUAGUUUAUGUGCCUACCAUGGUUGUUACGGGUAACGGAGAAUUAGGGUUCGACUCCGGAGAGGGAGCUUGAGAAAUGGCUACCACAUCCAAGGAAGGCAGCAGGCGCGCAAAUUACCCACUCUCGGCAAGAGGAGGUAGUGACGAGAAAUAACGAGACCGUUCUCAUUGAGGCCGGUUAUCGGAAUGAGUUGGAUCUAAAUGUUCUGACGAGGAUCUAUGAGAGGGCAAGUCUGGUGCCAGCAGCCGCGGUAAUUCCAGCUCUCAUAGUGUAUAUCGUUGCUGUUGCGGUUAAAAAGCUCGUAGUUGGAUCUACGCUUGAGAGCUUGGUCCACCAUUUUGGUGCUGAACUAAGUUUAUCUCAGUGUUCAUUUCAUYCGUUGGUUCUCUUAACGUUGCUUUUACCGGUUGCGUUAGGUGGCUAACAAGUUUACUUUGAAAAAAUUAGAGUGCUUAAAGCGGGCUAUUAAUGCUUGAAUAGUGGUGCAUGGAAUAAUAGAAUACGAUUACGGAUCUAUUUUGUUGGUUUUCUGAUCUGCAAUAAUGGUUAAGAGGGACAAACGGGGGCAUUCGUAUCGCUGCGCGAGAGGUGAAAUUCGUGGACCGUAGCGAGACGCUCUACUGCGAAAGCAUUUGCCAAGAAUGUUUUCAUUAAUCAAGAACGAAAGUCAGAGGUUCGAAGGCGAUCAGAUACCGCCCUAGUUCUGACCGUAAACGAUACCAACUAGCGAUCCGCUGAUGGCAAUUAUAUGGCCUUAGCGGGUAGCUGCCCGGAAACGAAAGUUUUUCGGUUCCGGGGGAAGUAUGGUUGCAAAGCUGAAACUUAAAGAAAUUGACGGAAGGGCACCACCAGGAGUGGAGCCUGCGGCUUAAUUUGACUCAACACGGGAAAACUCACCUGGCCCGGACACCGUAAGGAUUGACAGACUGAUAGCUCUUUCUUGAUUUGGUGGUUGGUGGUGCAUGGCCGUUCUUAGUUGGUGGAGUGAUUUGUCUGGUUUAUUCCGAUAACGAGCGAGACUCAAACCUGCUAAAUAGUUGUUGGAUAUUAUCGUUGCUAGUUGGUAUGUUGGUUCAUCUGGCAUAUUGGCUGGUAGCAUUGUCCAAUAGUUACUUCUUAGAGGGACAAGCGGUUUUCAGCCGCAUGAAGUUGAGCAAUAACAGGUCUGUGAUGCCCUUAGAUGUUCAGGGCUGCACGCGUGCUACACUGCGAAGAAUCAGCGUGCAGUAACCAUUCUUGAAAGUGAUUGGUAACCCGUUGAAAAUCUUCCGUGAUUGGGAUCGGGAAUUGCAAUUAUUUCCCUUGAACGAGGAAUUCCUAGUAAGUGUGAGUCAUCAGCUCGCGUUGAUUACGUCCCUGCCCUUUGUACACACCGCCCGUCGCUGCCCGGGACUGAGCCGUUUCGAGAAAACCGGGGACUGCUGUUUCGAUGUUUGCAUGUGCGCUUGCGUACAUGUGAGCGGAGAUUCUUUACUGGUGGAAACCG